UCAUUAGUGAAUUUCAGGGACUCCACUCUGUGGAUCCCGACCCUCACAUUAUCCACAUACACUUGUGCACUGUUGGUUGGGUGUGAACCUUGGUUUAUCACCUGCCAACGCCAAUUAUACAAACUCUGAGAACUAUGAAUGUGAAUUUAACUUGCCAAUUUUUGGCGAAAUUAAAUACAACUUUCGACAACGGAUCUCUUGGUUCUCCCAUCGAUGAAGAACGCAGCGAAUUGCGAUAAGUAAUGUGAAUUGCAGAAUUCAGUGAAUCAUCGAAUCUUUGAACGCACCUUGCGCUCCCUGGUAUUCCUAGGAGCAUGCCUGUUUGAGUGUCAUGAAUUCCUCAAACCCCAAUGUUUUGCAAAAUUCAUUGCUUGGGUUUGGUUGUGGGCCUAUAUUGCUGCUUCACGGCAGCUGGCCUUAAAGAUAUUAGCUGGACUCUCCGAGAACUCUUGGAUAGUUCCACUUGAUGUGAUAAAUUUGCAUCGGUGGGUCAAGACUAUGCUUGGGAAGUGUGAGAAGUCUGCUUCUAAUCCGGCGAGAGGUUCCAUCCUCGACCCAAUUCAUUUACAACUCUGGCCUCAAAUCAGGCGGCGAGUGAAGCGGGAAGAGCUCAAUUUGAAAGCUGGCACCUUCGGUGUCCGCGUUGUAAUCUCGAGAAGUGUUUUCCGUGCUGGACCAUGUACAAGUUCCUUGGAAUAGGACGUCAUAGAGGGUGAAAAUCCCGUACUUGACAUGGACGCCCAGUGCUUUGUGAUACACUCUCCACGAGUCGAGUUGUUUGGGAAUGCAGCUCAAAAUGGGUGGUAAAUUCCAUCUAAAGCUAAAUAUUGGGGAGAGACCGAUAGCGAACAAGUACCGUGAGGGAAAGAUGAAAAGCACUUUGGAAAGAGAGUUAAACAGUACGUGAAAUUGUCGAAAGGGAAGCGCUUGAAGUUAGACAUGCUUGCCGGGAUUCAGCCUUGCUUUUGCUUGGUGCAUUUCCCGGUGUGCAGGCCAGCAUCAGUUUUGUUUGCCGGAUAAGGGUGAGAGGAACGUGGCCCCUCGGGGUGUUAUAGCCUCUCACUGGAUACGGCGGAUGGGACUGAGGACCGCAGUGUGCCUUUA
rnacentral:sRNA from 1 species